AAUGAAAUGCCUGAUAAAAGGGCUACUUUGAUAGAGUAGAUCAUGUAGGACCCCUACUUUCAUUA
rnacentral:tRNA from 3 species